ensembl:lncRNA
ACUGAGAGAUAGCAAAAGAAAUCGAGGAGUCCGGAGCAAGUACUGAGAGAGACUUUAUUGUUCCCACAAACUAGGAACAACAGAGCCGAGUAUGGUUUGCAAAGACACUAACGAUCAUAAGAUCCCGGGCUUUUUAUCUUCACACACAAAGCUGUUCUCUACAUCGUAUGCCUGCCCACAGCUGUCAGUCAUACGUUACUAGCUUUGUGGUCAAAAUCCUCAGCAAAUCUAAUCCAAAAAUUAGGUCGAAGCUAAUCUGAACAUUAGGUUGACGCUAAUCUGAACAUUAGGUUGAUAAAUCUAAACAUCUGGUGGACGCAAAUCUAAUCUAAACAUGAGGGUUGACGUCAGUACGCCUUGACCCCAGACUCUGUGGCACCGUGCCGAGUCCCAUAGUAUGCCCAUGAAUUCAGAGAUGAUUUUAGCUGCUUUCCACUAUUAAUGUAUCGAUAUGAUAUAUAGGCCUGAUAAUACUCAUAGGUAAUAUAAAAGUAAUGGUUAAUUUCUCCCAUAAACCCUAGGAGUCAAAAACAAUUUGAGCCUUCAUAAAGUUUGUUUGGUAACUGAAUUAUAACUGCACAAUGUCCCAUUGCAAAGUUCCUAUUCCACUGUAUUGGUUUUGGACUGAAUGUCCUAGAGGUCCUUAAUUUGAAGCCACUCAAUUAUAUCUAGGGCAGAGUCACAUAGAGUUGUUGUCAUGGUCUGUCUGUUUCCUUGUCUUUUAUUGGUGUGUUUCCUGUUUUACUCUGGUAUCCCUGUCUUGUCUCUCCCCAUGUCCGGUCAGGUUUCCCUCCUGUGUGAUUACUGCUCCCUCCCCUAAUGUGUUUCAGCUGUUCCUCUGUGUGUGUUUGGUAUUUAAGCCCUUGUCUUUCCUUUGUUCCUUGUCGGAUCUUUGUAGUUCGUGGUGAGUUGUGUCCCCGGGGUUCCCUGCCUUUUGCGUUAAUGAAUGAAUGUUAAUGAAUUACCCUUUACCUAAACUGUCUGCUAUUGGGUCCUAUCUGCCUGCCUGCCACCCGCUAACCGUGACACAAGUUUUCUCAACUGCUUUCGUAGAAGAUAAUUGACAUGUAGGCCUUCUGCACAACCCUAACAUUUUCGUUAGAUUUAGCUACCACGGAGCCUCCCUGUAAUGGUUGUGUUGUAACAUCAGUCAUUUAACCUAACCAAGCCUCUAAAAAAUUGGCUUAGCGAGCUAGUUCGAUGUUAGCUGAAGUCUGCCUAUCCUACACGUAAAUCAAAUGUAAGCUUAUUAAAAUGUUAUUGGACUGAUCUGUAAUUGGCUUAGUUUGCUAACGUCAGGUUUAUGCUAGGCUACCCAUCCUAUACUCUGACUAGAGGUUAUUUUGAAACUUCUGUUUGAGAAAAGAUUCAUAGCAAUUUUGUUAUAAUAACCCAGAUGUGGACAGUCUGCCUUGUUCUGUUUGAAAAGGUGACAGAAUCAGGAUUGCUUUCCACUCACUUUAUUUGGUAAAGGUUUGGUCUCUGUGUAGCAAAACGAGGGGAAUUGUAUAGGCAGAUAAAUGCAUCCAUAUAAAUCCCAACUAAUACUUCUAGAUAUGAAUAAUACAAAGUUGAACACUUUCAGCAUGCAUUGAAAGUCGAAAGUACAAAAAAUAGGUGACAUAAGAAUACAAGUUAAGAUUUAAAAUUCCCUGCAGGCUCGUCAUUCAAGUAAACAGUGACGCACAAAAAACUAAACCUAAAGAAAAACAAAUUAGCCAUAAUGUGAAUAUCUGAACAUCUAUCACAAGUCAGUAAAUUGGUUGACACAAAUGUAAUUGUAAUCAAUUAUAGUGUAGACCAUUUCCUUACUAACCUUAUUGUUUUAUCUGAAGUAUGCUUUCAGUACCCCCUGGUGUGGUCCACCACCCUGAGUGGGGAAGCACCUCCCUUAUCUCGGCAGCCCCCCCCACAAUCCUUCACUGUGGAUAACAUGAAAUAGAAAUUUGGAUAACAUUUUAUCGUACGUAUCAAGUCUAAUUUUAAGUAUUGUCGACUAUUAUCUAUGAUCACUUUGGUCGUGGCCCUCGCCGGCCUCCUCCCGCCCGGCCCCCCUGGUCCUGGUCCUGUAGCUGCAGGGCGGCCAUCAUGUACUCGGGAAUAUCGGUGUCUUGGUAUCCCGGGGGCAGCCACCCAGGUGGCGAGAUGCCCUGGUACGCCGGUGGCAGGGCCAGGAGUGUUGGGAAGAGUGUCGGCGGUUCCUGGGUGUCUUCAGCUUUUUCGCGCAGCAGGGACUUCUCUUCGAGCUUCUUAAUCUGCAACCUCAUGAGUUGCCUCUUCAGUUCUUUGAGUUCAUCGUCCAUGGCUACCCGCCGCUCUUGAUCGAGACGGUAGUGAUGGACGAGGUGCUCUUUCCACUCUGCCCACGGUUUGUCGGACAGUGCCACCACCGUCUCCAGGGCCUUCCGGACCUCGGCUGGCAGUCCUUGUAGGAGCUGUCUCUUGAAUAUCUCGACCGCUGGCCAGCUUUGUGCGUGGCAGUCGUUACAGUCCGCCCACAGCCCUCGGGCCCUGUCGAUGUACGCAGAGAUGGAUUCCUCGGGUUUGAUGCUCACGCCGGGGAUUCCCACUGUGACGGCCGGGAAGAGUUCUCUGAGGCGCUCCCAGAAGAGGUUCCGGUAUGGAUUGAAGAAGGUUCUGUCGGGUAGUUCGGCGGUUCGGGUCAAUUUUUCCAGUUCGAAAGCUUGCGCACGGUCGAGCAUGGCUCGCACAUCGCCCAAGCCCAGGACGACUCCAGGCGACUCUUUCUCGAACUCCCUGAUCCAGGCCGCUGCUCCGUCCGUCAGACGGGGUAAGCGGGCGGCCAGACCGACCAUGUCCCGAUGGCCCCACGGUGCGUAGCUAUCUCUCCCCUCUACGUCUGUCGGACGGGCUGCCAUGACCAUUGGCAUUACGAUCAUCCAGUCCGGAAGCGCGCGUGUUCUGGAGCUAGGUGUGGGGAAAAGCAGGAGUAGUUCGCUUCUUGACCUGCAGGGGGUGGCUUAGUUUGGACUUAUGGUAGUUCUCUUCUUGUCCAGCAGUGGGAGUCGUUUAGGUAGAACUGGUGGCAGUUCCUCUUCUCGGCCAGUAGGGGGUGUCGCUGAGGUAGAACUGAUGGUAGUUCCUCUUCUUGGCCAGCAGAGGGAGUCACUGAGGUAGAACUGGUGAUGGUUCCUAUUCUCUGCCAGCUGGGGGGAGUCGUUUAGGUGUGACUUUAACUAUAGAGGGGGUUCUCUCUUGAUUUAUUGCCCUUUGGGCUGAGCCCUUCCCCGCUCUCUACGUCCUCGGCACCUACGGACAGAUGGAAACAAACAACAGAUAAGGUGGGAGUUGGAAUGUAGGCCAUCUCUCAUAGACAAAGGGAUUUGUCGGCCACAUGAAAAAAAAAAUCAAUGUAAAGUUGUGUUUGUGAGAAAAACAGGAGAAAAAACAACUGCAUUCAAUGCAUUCAAGCGUGUUAGUAGUUAUUCAAAAAAAAGUCUUAUGAAUCAUGCAAGUUGGCUUAGCCCCAUGGGGUUAGAAGUAGGCUAUAUAUUGCAUUUGGACUCAGUAAACGUCUUAAAACCGCUAGGAUUGUCAAUUCAAAGCUUAAGCCCCUCAUGGUUAGCAGUUCUUACAACCACCAGGAAUAUGUUCUCCAAGCUUCAGC